AUCGCUUCUCGGCCUUUUGGCUAAGAUCAAGUGUAGUAUCUGAAAGUUACCAAUGGUAGGGAAAGGAAGGUCAGGAGGGAACUAGCUUUUCCUGUGCUUUUCACAUCAGAAGACACAAUCAAAAUUAUUUUUCAUCAUACAACAAAU
rnacentral:snRNA from 2 species